UGUAUUAUACCGCAUAACUUUCUACUGGAUGUACCGAUUUUGAUAAUUCUUUUUUUGUUGGAAAGGAGAUAUUCCUAGUUUAGUACCAUGAUAAGGAAACCAGGAUCUGAUGAUAGGAUCCCAGAGAAAUCGAGGGAAACUCUUGAAAAUCCGCAAUAACUUUUUACUGGGUGUACCGAUUUUGAUAAUUCUUUUUUUGUUGGAAAGAAGAUAUCCCUAGUUUAGUACCAUGAUAAGGAAACCAGAUCUGAUGAUGGGAUCCCAGAGAAAUCGAGGGAAACCCUCGAAA
rnacentral:misc_RNA from 1 species